rnacentral:rRNA from 1 species
GUGGGGAAUUUUGGACAAUGGGCGCAAGCCUGAUCCAGCAAUGCCGCGUGCAGGAAGAAGGCCUUCGGGUUGUAAACUGCUUUUGUACGGAACGAAACGGUCCUGGUUAAUACCUGGGGCUAAUGACGGUACCGUAAGAAUAAGCACCGGCUAACUACGUGCCAGCAGCCGCGGUAAUACGUAGGGUGCAAGAGUCAAUCGGAAUUACUGGGCGUAAAGCGCGCGCAGGCGGUUUUGUAAGACAGGCGUUAAAUCCCCGGGCUCAACCUGGGAAUUGCGCUUGUGACUGCGAGGCUAGAGUGCGGCAGAGGGGGAUGGACUUCCGCGUGUAGCAGUGAAAUGCGUAGAUAUGCGGAGGAACACCGAUGGCGAAGGCAGCCUCCUGGGAUAACACUGACGCUCAGGCACGAAAGCGUGGGGAGCAAACAGGAUUAGAUACCCGUGUAGUCC